UCCCUUGUAGCUCAGAUUGUAAAGCACCUUUCUGCAAUGCAGGAGACCCAGGUUCAAUCCCUGGGUUGGGAA
rnacentral:tRNA from 1 species